rnacentral:rRNA from 1 species
GAUGAACGCUGGCGGCGUGCCUAAUACAUGCAAGUCGAGCGAACAGAUAAGGAGCUUGCUCCUUUGACGUUAGCGGCGGACGGGUGAGUAACACGUGGGUAACCUACCUAUAAGACUGGGAUAACUUCGGGAAACCGGAGCUAAUACCGGAUAACAUUUGGAACCGCAUGGUUCUAAAGUGAAAGAUGGUUUUGCUAUCCCUUAUAGAUGGACCCGCGCCGUAUUAGCUAGUUGGUAAGGUAACGGCUUACCAAGGCAACGAUACGUAGCCGACCUGAGAGGGUGAUCGGCCACACUGGAACUGAGACACGGCCCAGACUCCUACGGGAGGCAGCAGUAGGGAAUCUUCCGCAAUGGGCGAAAGCCUGACGGAGCAACGCCGCGUGAGUGAUGAAGGGUUUCGGCUCGUAAAACUCUGUUAUUAGGGAAGAACAAACGUGUAAGUAACUGUGCACGUCUUGACGGUACCUAAUCAGAAAGCCACGGCUAACUACGUG